rnacentral:rRNA from 1 species
ACGUAGGGUGCAAGCGUUGUCCGGAAUUAUUGGGCGUAAAGAGCUCGUAGGCGGUUUGUCACGUCUGCUGUGAAAUUCCGAGGCUCAACCUCGGACUUGCAGUGGGUACGGGCAGGCUAGAGUGCGGUAGGGGAGAUGGGAAUUCCUGGUGUAGCGGUGGAAUGCGCAGAUAUCAGGAGGAACACCAAUGGCGAAGGCACAUCUCUGGGCCGUAACUGACGCUGAGGAGCGAAAGCGUGGGGAGCGAACAGGAUUAGAUACCCUGGUAGUCCACGCCGUAAACGGUGGGUGCUAGCUGUGGGCCACAUUCCACGUGGUCCGUGACGAAGUUAACACAUUAAGCACCCCGCCUGGGGAGUACGGCCGCAAGGCUA